UCUUCAUUUCACGUGCUCUCUCGCCGGUUAGAGGACGAGAAAGUGUGUAAAAUGAAGAGA
rnacentral:pre_miRNA from 1 species